rnacentral:lncRNA from 1 species
UUGAUGAAAUGCCUUGCUUUUAUUUGCUGAUGGGUUCUGAGUUAAACUGCAGGAAAACCUUUGGUCAUCUGGGCUUAAUUGAUUGAAUGGUUUUGGCUGGAAAUUGGGACGCUGGAAGUCAAAUUGGGUCCUCACAUUGAAUUUAGUUGCAGAUUGGAAGCUUUGUGCUGUAGGGAAUUAAUUGGGCUGAAUUGAAGCUUUGGGCCGCUGUUGGUUGAAAUAAUUUGGGCU